CAGUAGCCGCGGUAAUACAGAGGGUGCGAGCGUUAAUCGGAUUUACUGGGCGUAAAGCGUGCGUAGGCGGCUUUUUAAGUCGGAUGUGAAAUCCCUGAGCUUAACUUAGGAAUUGCAUUCGAUACUGGGAAGCUAGAGUAUGGGAGAGGAUGGUAGAAUUCCAGGUGUAGCGGUGAAAUGCGUAGAGAUCUGGAGGAAUACCGAUGGCGAAGGCAGCCAUCUGGCCUAGUACUGACGCUGAGGUACGAAAGCAUGGGGAGCAAACAGGAUUAGAUACCCCGGUAGUCCCUGUCUCUUAUAC
rnacentral:rRNA from 1 species